rnacentral:rRNA from 1 species
AGAACUUAGCAGAGAUGCUUUGGUGCCCUUUCGGGAACUCUGAGACAGGUGCUGCAUGGCUGUCGUCAGCUCGUGUUGUGAAAUGUUGGGUUAAGUCCCGCAACGAGCGCAACCCUUAUCCUUUGUUGCCAGCGGUCCGGCCGGGAACUCAAAGGAGACUGCCAGUGAUAAACUGGAGGAAGGUGGGGAUGACGUCAAGUCAUCAUGGCCCUUACGAGUAGGGCUACACACGUGCUACAAUGGCGCAUACAAAGAGAAGCGACCUCGCGAGAGCAAGCGGACCUCAUAAAGUGCGUCGUAGUCCGGAUUGGAGUCUGCAACUCGACUCCAUGAAGUCGGAAUCGCUAGUAAUCGUAGAUCAGAAUGCUACGGUGAAUACGUUCCCGGGCCUUGUACACACCGCCCGUCACACCAUGGGAGUGGGUUGCAAAAGAAGUAGGUAGCUUAACCUUCGGGAGGGCGCUUACCACUUUGUGAUUCAUGACUGGGGUGAAGUCGUAACAAGGUAAGCGUAGCGAG